rnacentral:rRNA from 1 species
AUUGAACGCUGGCGGCAUGCUUUACACAUGCAAGUCGAACGGCAGCGCGGGCUUCGGCCUGGCGGCGAGUGGCGAACGGGUGAGUAAUACAUCGGAACGUGCCCAGUAGUGGGGGAUAGCUCGGCGAAAGCCGGAUUAAUACCGCAUACGACCUGAGGGUGAAGGCGGGGGAUCUUCGGACCUCGCGCUAUUGGAGCGGCCGAUGGCAGAUUAGCUAGUUGGUGGGGUAAAGGCCUACCAAGGCGACGAUCUGUAGCUGGUCUGAGAGAACGACCAGCCACACUGGGACUGAGACACGGCCCAGACUCCUACGGGAGGCAGCAGUGGGGAAUUUUGGACAAUGGGCGAAAGCCUGAUCCAGCAAUGCCGCGUGUGUGAUGAAGGCCUUCGGGUUGUAAAGCACUUUUGGCGGGAACGAAAAGGACUGUGCCAAUACCACGGUUCGAUGACGGUACCCGCAGAAUAAGCACCGGCUAACUACGUG